UACGUAGGGCGCAAGCGUUAUCCGGAAUUAUUGGGCGUAAAGGGCUCGUAGGCGGUCUGUCGCGUCGGGAGUGAAAACUCAGGGCUUAACCCUGAGCCUGCUUCCGAUACGGGCAGACUAGAGGUAUGCAGGGGAGAACGGAAUUCCUGGUGUAGCGGUGAAAUGCGCAGAUAUCAGGAGGAACACCGGUGGCGAAGGCGGAUCUCUGGGCCGUAACUGACGCUGAGGAGCGAAAGCAUGGGGAGCGAACAGG
rnacentral:rRNA from 1 species